AUGUUCUUGAUGUCGCAGCACUGCAAGCACACAACACCCUGCACACCAGGGAUCUGUGGGAUCUACAUGUUUGACCCCAGGAUUUCUGAGGAUCACCACAGGCAUCGUUCCAAGAACCAUGAAAUCCUCCUCUGGCUGCUCAGAUCCCAGGAGGAAAUGCCAGUUCCAUACCCAGCAGUGGAGCAGCACAACUGCCGAGUGCUUUGGGCACGCUGGAGACACGUCAGCGCGGUGAAAAUACCUCCUGAUGGCAGCUGGAAAACAUUCAAUGGGCUGUGGGCGUACAAUAAUGAAAUUAAACUGCUUUGUGCUGUCAGAAGGCAUGCCUGUAACACUAGCAUGAGUUUAUGAGCAGCAGACUGGAGCCGCUUUUAGUCCAGGAAUUUACCAAAACAUCCAAAACUCAUAUCAGCGACAAAACAAGAGGUAUUAUCAAAUAAAGUUUUGUUUGGGUUUGUUGGGUUUUUUCCC
rnacentral:lncRNA from 1 species